UCGGGGGCUCGCGAGCCCCGGGCCCGGCCGAGAGAGCGGGACCCGGGACGGCGCCCCCACCCAGACCAAGGCCGCACCCACGAUCGACCGCGGGACCGACCCGGGGACCCGCGCAGGAAGCGAAGCAGCGACGGGAACCGGCGAAGGGACGGGGACCGGGACCCGGAGAGAGACCAGGAGAGGGACGGGAACCGCGACCGGAACCGGGACCGGGAGAGGGAGAGAGAGAGGGAAAGAGACCCGGACCGAGGCCCCCGCCGGGACACACACAGGGACGCGGGCCCUCGCGCAGGUGAACACGGAGUUUGGGAAAAACCGCGCCAAAGCCGGACGCGGGACGGAGCCCGGGGACUGACCUGGGACGCAGCCGCGCCUCCUGGGCCCGCGCCCUGGGAAGCCCCGGAGCCGCCGCAGCCGCAGAGGAAGGGAGACCCCGGGCGCCGCAGACCCGAAAGUGAACCCCCUUCGGAGAGAUAUCUGCCCUCGACCCCCAGGCCUGGACGAGAGGAGGUGGAAUAUUACCAGUCAGAGGCGGAAGGACUCCUGGAAUGCCACAAAUGCAAAUACUUGUGCACUGGGAGAGUAUCACACGGUUGCUUUCAUUUGAGCCUCCCCACAUCCCUGUGGGUGAAGAUUGGCAGACUUAGCUUCAUUUGUCAUAUUGUCUGAGGCUUAGAAGGACUGAAUGGCUUGGCCAAGAUGACAAGGCAGUAAAAAGCGGGGACUUGAACCUGGUGGUCCUGCUCUCGGUUCAUUUGUAUUUCUCUUCAUGCUCAUCCCUGAACACCACGGGAAUGGCAGGAGACCCUCUCCCAGAAGGACACCUAAGAAGGAUUUGGGGCCUCUGUCAGUAACAAAUAAAAGCUGACCUCGGACAAGAAGAUCUUCAGUCUGUUGGCCUGUUGGCUUCCUCUGCCUCGUGCCAUUUGUGGGUUCCUUUCAGUCCAAAUAUCUAUCAGUAAGGUCCUGGUUGAAUAGACAAAUCCAUCCAUACAAUGAAGUCGAAGGCCACUUAACAAAAUGUGGCUCCUCUUGUAGGAACUGAUCUGAAAACAUCUGGAAGAUACAGUAAAUGAAAAAAUCAAGAUGCAGAACAGUGUACAUGGUACACUUACUUUUGUGG
rnacentral:lncRNA from 10 species